rnacentral:lncRNA from 1 species
GUAGAUCCAGUGCACAGAAAUCUUAUUCUUAAAAUCUGGAAGCCUGGCCAGUCUCAAACAGUAAGACAGCAUGGAAAAUAUUAACUUUAAAAAGUCAAUGAUUGCUUCAUUGCUUAUGGGUGCUGUGAACCAAGAUGCCAGCAUUGUGGUGCAAGUAAAUCCAAAUUUGACAGCCAUGCAGCUUGUCAGGAACACAAAUUCACUUGUGAAUAAAUUCUGUUGAAAAGCAUACAAAGAAUUCCAUCAAGACAAGCCAAGUUGUCAGAUGUCUUCAUUAUUUUCAGGACACUUCUGAUGUAAAAGAUGAGUAAAGGAUGAGUCUAAGAAAUGGUGCUGUAUUUGAUUAUAUUUUUUCAGAACUUUUCAGGAAUCCAGGAUGAAACAGAAAGCGAUAGCUGACCAUUUAUUAGCAAUUUUUCCCAUUGGUAAAAAACCUGUAGGGAAGAUCAUGAAUGUUAACAUAUUCGGUACUCUGGAAUAAAAAUGGUCAAACCUAUUCAAUGUCUAAGCAGGAUAUCCCCACUUAGUUCUUGCCACAAGGUAGUAGCAUAGCUUUUCCCUUCAGUCAUUUAAGCCAGAUUUAGAACAAUCUAUUUGUAGAAAACGGAAUUUAAAUUUGGUUAAUUCCCUCAAAUCCUUGCACUGACCACACUCAUGAAAACUGGCUACCCAAAGAAAUUAAACACUGACGUUCUUUAACUUCUCCCUGCAUAUGUUGCUGCCUCACAGAAAACUGUCAAACAUCUUAAGUCAUUAUUUUAUCCAUUACAGUGAACAAAGAACUGAUGAUCAGAAUGGCCAUCUCUGCAUCUAUUCUGACUACCAGUGCUGAAGUGGCCUUUGGAGAUCUCUGGAAAGCUGCACUGGACAACACUUUACUGGAGAAGAAUAACCAUAUCUGGUGUUAUUUUCCAGCAGAAUUCGUUUUGUUGAGGACACAAAACAAAAGCCUUUCUGUCACUGGACAUGCCAUUCGCCUGUGCUGCAGCCAGCCUUUGGCCUUCCAGAUUUGCUGAGUGUGCUCCAAGGGACUGCAGCAGUGCUUUGCUGCUAACUCUUGCCCUGCUUCCCGGAGAGCCAUUGUGCUGCACUGUGAGCAGGCAGGAUACUCGCCCCAGAGUGAGCAGCGAUGGAGGGACUGACACCGAAACCGCUGGAGACGUUACAGCAUCAUUCCCACAAGCAGCCUUUCAUUGGCAUCUGUGUCCCACAUUCUGCCCUCUCCCUUUCUGGUACCUGAGACUUCAGGUGCAUUAA